CGAUUUUCAACCCGAGGAUCACGGAGUUGGCCGAGGUGGUCACCAGCAGCGGAGCUCCUCGGAACCAACGCCGGACAAAGCUGUAUCAGAGACAACUUCGGAGGAGGAACUUCAAACGGGCUCGUCAUCGUGGAUGGGGAUCGGCUACGAUGGCCGUGAUUGAUCGUGCCGUACCGCUGGGUAGACACGCCAGCGGAGUGCGCAUACAACCAGGUGCACAGAAAACUGGAAAAAAAAAGCCCGUGUGCUGGCUGCCGAGCCUGCGGGUGGUGCGCUGGGCCUCCAGACCGGUCGUGAACGAGGUGGUCCCUGCCGGCCCAGUGGUGCCGGUCGCCCUUCAGCUGCAGCUGCUGCCUCAGGCGGUCCCCCUGCCACAGGAGGAGGCCCCUCCCGACGUAGCAGCGCAGCUGCUGCACCAGGCUCCACGGGUGCCUCAUCCUCGUCCAUCGGCCAGUCCGGAGGCUCGUAGUCCUGCGUUUCUUCGGACUCCGGCACCUCGAGGAAUGCGACCCCGGGGUCCACUUCAACUUCGUAGUUCAGGACUCUGUCCUCUCCAACCUCCUCGUCAGUAAUUGGCUGCACGCUGACUGGUGCUGUGCUGGCCCUAAGGAAAAUACACCAGAAUGUCAGUCUUGUCACCCUUGUACAUAAUUUGAAACACUCUUAUUUGUAUUUCAUUCAUGCUUUUUGUGUGCAUGUGGAUCAAGCUCGACUCCUCAGCUCUCGGCCAUUGCUGCUAUUAGUUGUGAAAGUAUGUGGGCUUUAGUAGAGCCAGCCUACAGUGUGCAGGUCAAGCCCGAUCUUGACUGUUGCGGCUAUUAGUUGUGAAAACAGCUGGCUUCAUGGAGAUCCAGUGUGCAGUGUUGAUGCCGGCAAGAUAUUUCUGGUUGCUUGUCCCUACAAUUCUGUUUUAUGUCAAAGCCUACCAUGUUGAGCAACAGAUCUGCUCAGGGUGAUUCCAAAUUUAGUGGUAGGGUCUACUGGUCGGUGCUUAAUAAAUUGUACUCACUGUACACCAUAUUUGAACUGACUGCUCAGGAUUACUUCUGAUUUCUUUUAUUUAUCAAUACUGUUCACCCUUUCAAGGUGGUUUUAUUUCAGAAAAGACAUUCCUCAUGGUAUGCAAUGUGCAUGUUGGAAGUGUUGCAAGAGCUUGACGUCAGCAUAUGCUCAGCAGCAGCGAACUCAGCUGUGACAGUGAAUGCUACCUACGAAAUGAGCGAGAUUUCAGAGCACUAAUCUCGCACAAAUAUGUUUAUGCAACAGACUGUCUCAGCUUUGUGCCUUCAUUCAUUUGACUUGCCAUCUCAAUACAACGGACCUGAAGCAAAUGAGGUCCAAGCUUUGUGUUUGUGACCUUUGGGUCUACGUAGCAGUAGAAUUUUCAACAUAAAACAAUAUAUUUUUUUGCUGUUUGUCAUAGUUCAGCUUGACUUCAUAAAAGUCUAGCCUGUAUACGGUAGUCCUGCGAUAAUUCAAACUC